rnacentral:snRNA from 1 species
CUCGCUUCUCAGCCUUUUGGCUAAGAUCAAGUUUAGUAUCUGUUCUUAUCAGUUUAAAAUUACCUAAUUAGUUGGAUACCAGGCUAGACGAUAAAAAUUUCAGAAGGCUAGAAAUGUUUCUUGUGAAAUUAAAGUAUUUUAAGAAGCUAACUGAU